AGCAGCCGCGGUAAUUCCAGCUCCAAUAGCGUAUAUUAAAGUUGUUGCAGUUAAAAGCUCGUAGUUGAAUUUCGGGAUCAAUUUGCUGGUCGUGCCUCUGGUACGUACUGGUAUUAUUGGUUUCUCCCUUCUGACGAACCAUGAUGUCAUUAAUUUGAUGUCGUGGAGAAUCAGGACUGUUACUUUGAAAAAUUGAGUGUUUAAAGCAGGCAUUAGCUUGAAUACAUUAGCAUGGAAUAAUGAAAUAGGACGUUUGAUCCUAUUUUGUUGGUUUCUAGGAUUGACGUAAUGAUUAAUAGGGAUAGUUGGGGGCAUUAGUAUUCAAUUGUCAGAGGUGAAAUUCUUGGAUUUAUUGAAGACUAACUACUGCGAAAGCAUUUGCCAAGGAUGUUUUCAUUAAUCAAGAACGA
rnacentral:misc_RNA from 1 species